rnacentral:rRNA from 1 species
GACAGAGGGUGCAAACGUUGUCCGGAAUUACUGGGCGUAAAGCGCGUGUAGGCGGCCCUGCAAGUCGGAUGUGAAAUCCCACGGCUCAACCGUGGAAGUGCAUUCCGAAACUGCAGGGCUAGAGUCCUGGAGAGGAAGGUGGAAUGCUUGGUGUAGAGGUGAAAUUCGUAGAUAUCAAGCGGAACACCGGUGGCGAAGGCGGCCU